rnacentral:rRNA from 1 species
GUGGGGAAUCUUAGACAAUGGGGGAAACCCUGAUCUAGCCAUGCCGCGUGAGCGAUGAAGGCCUUAGGGUUGUAAAGCUCUUUCAGCUGGGAAGAUAAUGACGGUACCAGCAGAAGAAGCCCCGGCUAACUCCGUGCCAGCAGCCGCGGUAAUACGGAGGGGGCUAGCGUUGUUCGGAAUUACUGGGCGUAAAGCGCGCGUAGGCGGACCAGAAAGUUUGAGGUGAAAUCCCAGGGCUCAACCUUGGAACUGCCGUCAAAACUCCUGGUCUGGAGUUCGAGAGAGGUGAGUGGAAUUCCGAGUGUAGAGGUGAAAUUCGUAGAUAUUCGGAAGAACACCAGUGGCGAAGGCGACACACUGGCUCAUUACUGACGCUGAGGCGCGAAAGCGUGGGGAGCAAACAGGAUUAGAAACCCUAGUAGUCC